AGCGUACACGGUGGAUGCCCUGGCAGUCAGAGGCGAUGAAGGACGUGCUAAUCUGCGAUAAGCGUCGGUAAGGUGAUAUGAACCGUUAUAACCGGCGAUUUCCGAAUGGGGAAACCCAGUGUGUUUCGACACACUAUCAUUAACUGAAUCCAUAGGUUAAUGAGGCGAACCGGGGGAACUGAAACAUCUAAGUACCCCGAGGAAAAGAAAUCAACCGAGAUUCCCCCAGUAGCGGCGAGCGAACGGGGAGCAGCCCAGAGCCUGAAUCAGUGUGUGUGUUAGUGGAAGCGUCUGGAAAGGCGCGCGAUACAGGGUGACAGCCCCGUACACAAAAAUGCACAUGCUGUGAGCUCGAUGAGUAGGGCGGGACACGUGGUAUCCUGUCUGAAUAUGGGGGGACCAUCCUCCAAGGCUAAAUACUCCUGACUGACCGAUAGUGAACCAGUACCGUGAGGGAAAGGCGAAAAGAACCCCGGCGAGGGGAGUGAAAAAGAACCUGAAACCGUGUACGUACAAGCAGUGGGAGCACGCUUCGGCGUGUGACUGCGUACCUUUUGUAUAAUGGGUCAGCGACUUAUAUUCUGUAGCAAGGUUAACCGAAUAGGGGAGCCGAAGGGAAACCGAGUCUUAACUGGGCGUUAAGUUGCAGGGUAUAGACCCGAAACCCGGUGAUCUAGCCAUGGGCAGGUUGAAGGUUGGGUAACACUAACUGGAGGACCGAACCGACUAAUGUUGAAAAAUUAGCGGAUGACUUGUGGCUGGGGGUGAAAGGCCAAUCAAACCGGGAGAUAGCUGGUUCUCCCCGAAAGCUAUUUAGGUAGCGCCUCGUGAAUUCAUCUCCGGGGGUAGAGCACUGUUUCGGCAAGGGGGUCAUCCCGACUUACCAACCCGAUGCAAACUGCGAAUACCGGAGAAUGUUAUCACGGGAGACACACGGCGGGUGCUAACGUCCGUCGUGAAGAGGGAAACAACCCAGACCGCCAGCUAAGGUCCCAAAGUCAUGGUUAAGUGGGAAACGAUGUGGGAAGGCCCAGACAGCCAGGAUGUUGGCUUAGAAGCAGCCAUCAUUUAAAGAAAGCGUAAUAGCUCACUGGUCGAGUCGGCCUGCGCGGAAGAUGUAACGGGGCUAAACCAUGCACCGAAGCUGCGGCAGCGACGCUGAUGCGUUGUUGGGUAGGGGAGCGUUCUGUAAGCCUGCGAAGGUGUGCUGUGAGGCAUGCUGGAGGUAUCAGAAGUGCGAAUGCUGACAUAAGUAACGAUAAAGCGGGUGAAAAGCCCGCUCGCCGGAAGACCAAGGGUUCCUGUCCAACGUUAAUCGGGGCAGGGUGAGUCGACCCCUAAGGCGAGGCCGAAAGGCGUAGUCGAUGGGAAACAGGUUAAUAUUCCUGUACUUGGUGUUACUGCGAAGGGGGGACGGAGAAGGCUAUGUUGGCCGGGCGACGGUUGUCCCGGUUUAAGCGUGUAGGCUGGUUUUCCAGGCAAAUCCGGAAAAUCAAGGCUGAGGCGUGAUGACGAGGCACUACGGUGCUGAAGCAACAAAUGCCCUGCUUCCAGGAAAAGCCUCUAAGCAUCAGGUAACAUCAAAUCGUACCCCAAACCGACACAGGUGGUCAGGUAGAGAAUACCAAGGCGCUUGAGAGAACUCGGGUGAAGGAACUAGGCAAAAUGGUGCCGUAACUUCGGGAGAAGGCACGCUGAUAUGUAGGUGAGGUCCCUCGCGGAUGGAGCUGAAAUCAGUCGAAGAUACCAGCUGGCUGCAACUGUUUAUUAAAAACACAGCACUGUGCAAACACGAAAGUGGACGUAUACGGUGUGACGCCUGCCCGGUGCCGGAAGGUUAAUUGAUGGGGUUAGCGCAAGCGAAGCUCUUGAUCGAAGCCCCGGUAAACGGCGGCCGUAACUAUAACGGUCCUAAGGUAGCGAAAUUCCUUGUCGGGUAAGUUCCGACCUGCACGAAUGGCGUAAUGAUGGCCAGGCUGUCUCCACCCGAGACUCAGUGAAAUUGAACUCGCUGUGAAGAUGCAGUGUACCCGCGGCAAGACGGAAAGACCCCGUGAACCUUUACUAUAGCUUGACACUGAACAUUGAGCCUUGAUGUGUAGGAUAGGUGGGAGGCUUAGAAGUGUGGACGCCAGUCUGCAUGGAGCCGACCUUGAAAUACCACCCUUUAAUGUUUGAUGUUCUAACGUUGACCCGUAAUCCGGGUUGCGGACAGUGUCUGGUGGGUAGUUUGACUGGGGCGGUCUCCUCCUAAAGAGUAACGGAGGAGCACGAAGGUUGGCUAAUCCUGGUCGGACAUCAGGAGGUUAGUGCAAUGGCAUAAGCCAGCUUGACUGCGAGCGUGACGGCGCGAGCAGGUGCGAAAGCAGGUCAUAGUGAUCCGGUGGUUCUGAAUGGAAGGGCCAUCGCUCAACGGAUAAAAGGUACUCCGGGGAUAACAGGCUGAUACCGCCCAAGAGUUCAUAUCGACGGCGGUGUUUGGCACCUCGAUGUCGGCUCAUCACAUCCUGGGGCUGAAGUAGGUCCCAAGGGUAUGGCUGUUCGCCAUUUAAAGUGGUACGCGAGCUGGGUUUAGAACGUCGUGAGACAGUUCGGUCCCUAUCUGCCGUGGGCGCUGGAGAACUGAGGGGGGCUGCUCCUAGUACGAGAGGACCGGAGUGGACGCAUCACUGGUGUUCGGGUUGUCAUGCCAAUGGCACUGCCCGGUAGCUAAAUGCGGAAGAGAUAAGUGCUGAAAGCAUCUAAGCACGAAACUUGCCCCGAGAUGAGUUCUCCCUGACUCCUUGA
rnacentral:rRNA from 1 species